AUGAACGCUGGCGGCGUGCUUAAUACAUGCAAGUCGAACGGAGACAGUAGCAAUAUUGUCUUAGUGGCGAACGGGUGAGUAACGCGUUGGUGACCUGCCCCGAAGAGGGGGAUAACAGUUCGAAAGGACUGCUAAUACCCCAUGUGGUCAUUUGGAUUAGAUGCCUUAUGACAAAACGGAUUUAUUCGCUUCGGGAGGGGCCUGCGUCCCAUCAGCUAGUUGGUAAGGUAAUGGCUUACCAAGGCGAUGACGGGUAGGGGACCUGAGAGGGUGGCCCCCCACAAUGGAACUGAAACACGGUCCAUACACCUACGGGUGGCAGCAGUAGGGAAUAUUAGUAAUGGGCGAAAGCCUGAACUAGCGACACCGCGUGUGCGAAGAAGGCCUUCGGGUUGUAAAGCACUUUUAGAGAGGAUGAGGAAGGACGGUACUCUCUGAAUAAGUCUCGGCUAACUACGU
rnacentral:rRNA from 1 species